rnacentral:rRNA from 1 species
AACGAACGCUGGCGGCAUGCCUAACACAUGCAAGUCGAACGAGAUCUUCGGAUCUAGUGGCGCACGGGUGCGUAACACGUGGGAAUCUGCCCUUGGGUUCGGAAUAACUCUCCGAAAGGAGUGCUAAUACCGGAUGAUGUCGAAAGACCAAAGAUUUAUCGCCCAGGGAUGAGCCCGCGUAGGAUUAGCUAGUUGGUGAGGUAAAGGCUCACCAAGGCGACGAUCCUUAGCUGGUCUGAGAGGAUGAUCAGCCACACUGGGACUGAGACACGGCCCAGACUCCUACGGGAGGCAGCAGUGGGGAAUAUUGGACAAUGGGCGAAAGCCUGAUCCAGCAAUGCCGCGUGAGUGAUGAAGGCCUUAGGGUUGUAAAGCUCUUUUACCCGGGAUGAUAAUGACAGUACCGGGAGAAUAAGCCCCGGCUAACUCCGUGCCAGCAGCCGCAGUAACAC